ACCUGGCUAGCUUCGUCGGUAGAGCUUGUGACUCUUGAUCUCGGGGUUGUGAGUUCGAUACCCACGUUGGGUG
rnacentral:tRNA from 1 species